GACGAACGCUGGCGGCGUGCUUAACACAUGCAAGUCGAACGGAAAGGCCCUGCUUUUGUGGGGUGCUCGAGUGGCGAACGGGUGAGUAACACGUGAGUAACCUGCCCUUGACUUUGGGAUAACUUCAGGAAACUGGGGCUAAUACCGGAUAGGAGCUCCUGCUGCAUGGUGGGGGUUGGAAAGUUUCGGCGGUUGGGGAUGGACUCGCGGCUUAUCAGCUUGUUGGUGGGGUAGUGGCUUACCAAGGCUUUGACGGGUAGCCGGCCUGAGAGGGUGACCGGCCAAAAUGGGAAUGAGAUACGGCCCAGACUCCUACGGGAGGCAGCAGUGGGGAAUAUUGCAACAUGGGCGGAAGCCUGAUGCAGCAACGCCGGGUGCGGGAUGAAGGCCUUCGGGUUGUAAACCGCUUUCGCCUGUGACGAAGCGUGAGUGACGGUAAUGGGUAAAGAAGCACCGGCUAACUACGUG
rnacentral:rRNA from 1 species